rnacentral:rRNA from 1 species
UACGGAGGGUGCAAGCGUUAAUCGGAAUUACUGGGCGUAAAGCGCACGCAGGUGGCUGAGUCAGUCGAUUGUGAAAGCCCUGGGCUUAACCUGGGAAUUGCAGUCGAUACUACUCAGCUAGAGUAUGGGAGAGGGCAGUGGAAUUCCCGGUGUAGCGGUGAAAUGCGUAGAUAUCAGGAGGAACACCAAUGGCGAAGGCAGCUCGCUGGGACGGUACUGACGCUGAGACGCGAAAGCGUGGGGAGCAAACAGG